rnacentral:tRNA from 1 species
GCCGUUUUUCGAUAAUUUUGAUCUUGGCAACUACGGUUUUGUAAACCGUCGUUCCUCGGUUCGAAUCCGAGAGCCGGCUCCA